rnacentral:lncRNA from 1 species
UAGCAAAUAGACUACCAUGUAGUAAAGGAUCAACAAGAAAGUAUGAGUGGCCCAAACCCUGCCUCUUCUAAAGAAAGCUUUGGCACUUACCUGGAUCGUGGGAAAUAAUUUCUAAGCCCCUGGAACAUUUUGCCUGUUAAGAAUGUGUGUCUUUGCCAGACACCUUUGGCCCAUCAGAGAGUCUGUAGUAGCAAUGUAAUUUAUGGUGGGAAUUUUGAGCAGCACGACAUCAGCUUGACCUCUGGAGGGGAUGGAGAAAAGGUCAUCCACCUGGGUAAUCUGCCAUGUCUACGUUGUUAAACCCCCAAUAAAAACUCUGGACACGCAGACUCUGGUGAGACUCUCUGGCUGACAAUACUUAGCACGUGUUGUCACACAUCAUUGGUGGGAGAACUAAGUACUGUCUACAUGACUCAACUGGGAAAGGGCAGCUGAAAACUUAUGCCUGGACUCUCCUGGCCUCUGACCAAUAGAAAUAGCUUAUGUGCUUUUUUGCUGAUUUUAAUCUCUGUCCUUUCGCUGUAAUUAACUGUGAGCAUAACAGUCUUUUAAAGUUCAGUGAGUCCUUUUACUGAAUCAUUAAACCAAAGUGUGAUCUUGAGGACCAAACACAACUACAAAGUCUUAAUGGCAUGACACAAUAAAAGUUUACUUGCUGUUUAUGUGAAGUCUUCUGCAGGACUGGGUGCCCUAAUGGCCAACCAUUCUCUAAGCAGUUAGAGAACCAGGCUCUGCCAUCUCAGAGUCCACUGUUUCUAGUCACACAGACGGCAGAAUGAGAGCAAGGAAGAACAUGCAGGAUGUUUUAGAGGCCAGGCUUGUAAGUUUAAGUGUCACUUCUGUUCAGAUUCUAUUGGCCAGAACCCAGUCAUAUGGUGCCAGCCUAAAACAAGGAUGGUUGAAGAGGGGUCUUCUUGUGUCACCAAGAAGAGGAAAUAAAAAUGAUCUACUUCUUUAUUAUCUUUUUGGAGAACAGGAAUCUUUGUCUGGAAAUUCCACACGUUUGCCUUCUGCAAGAUUAAAAGUGCCACAAAGAACAAAAAUGAGCCUAGGACCAGGUGCACACUAGAAGCCAUUAGACAUGUUAAAGUUUCAUCUCCAUUGACCUGGUAAGCCUGAUAGUAUAAAUGCACUUUUACCUCUUUAAAUAUUAUCAGUGGUAGAAAGUACAUGGCAGGUUUAGGGGAGCCAGGUGGAAUGUGGUUUUGAGCCUUGUGACCUGCGUGUUAGUUAAUGAGUGCUUAGACUGAACCUUUGCAUUUAAUGCUCAGGACAAAUAGCUGAUGAGGGGAGGGGCCGGAACUACAGGAGCAACUCCCUUUGAUCACUUGCCAGUAGAGCAAGGCCUUGGUAAUAACUGCAAGUUAAUAGGCUGAUGUGGCCAUGGCAAAGCCCUGGUGCAAUCCUUGCUAUUGGGGGCAGGAGACAGGAACCCACGUGGGGCAUGGUACUGACAGGGACCCACAUGGGGAAUGGUAAUGACAGGGACGCACGUGGGGAAUGGUAACAUAACAAGUGGUGGAGGACUUUCCACCUUACAUAUAGUCAUCCCUGGCUAUUAAGGUAGAUACUAUCUUCAUCAUCUUUAUUUUACAGAUCUAGAAAUGGAGUCACUGGUAGGUAAAGUAAUUUGCCUGAGGUGAUGCAACCACAGUGACAGAGCUGGCAUUUGAACAGAGCCUGGCUGUAGCCUCCAUUUAAUAAACUGCACACCAAAUAUUUCUCCCAGGGAAGGAAGCCACAGUGUGCUGCUUUUUUGGGCUUCCUCUGCAACCUACUCUGGCAUACAGGUCCUGCUCUCUUAUUAGUCUUAGACUGCUUUCUUAUGGAUGAAAUGGGAAUGCUGACGCCUGCUUUAAAUUGUUAGUGGGAUUGAAUGUCUGCAAAGAGUUGCUGCUCAGUCAAAGAGAAAAAGUAAAACA